UCAAGUUGACAUAAAAACUAAACAGCACACCCCCUCAAAAACCUUUCCUGUUUGGAGAGUAUGAAAAUUAAGGAUUGUGAUCACUUACCUUUUCUUAGGCCGUUUCUACGAAAAUUACACUUAGAGCCUACAGUUGUGACCUGUUUAUGGAAAGCAGAACAAAAAGUGUGUUUCAAUAAAAGCUUUUACUUAUUGUUAUACUAAUAUAAAAUACUAGUUAACGGUAGUGAAUCGUGGUGUCUUGUAUUGCAUUUAAAGUAGGUAAUGGGGUCAGAGAGGUGGCUUUAUCAGUAAGACACCAGUGGCCAAUCCUGAUACAGUACCCCCUGAUGGAAGGAGAAAACCAACACCCCAAAGUCUCUGACUUCCCCGGGAGCACAUGAACAGAAGCCUUGUUCCUCUCAUGUUUUAUACUUACUCAGGAUGGGAAUCAAGAUAUCCUACUGCUAAAGAUUGUCUCAAAUAUUAAUGAGCAAAGCCAAGCAUGGUGUUGCAUGUCUGUAAUUCCAGCACUUGGGGAACUGAGCUUUCUAGACCCUAAUAUAGCAGGAAAGUAUGUCAUUAUCACGAGGUCAAGGGAAGACUAAAGCUCAAAAUCUAAAUGAUGUGUGGGUUUCACUGAACACAGACAAUUCACUUUUACAACAUAAGGUAAAAACAUCCUAAAUCACAUGAAUUGGGACUACCUAACUUUAAAUUUCUGUGUCGAUACUCCUGGUAGAAUAAUCAGAUAGAUUAAAUACCUGACAUCCAUUUUCUUGACCUGACCACUAAAAUCUCUUUCCAUGUAUUUAUUUUGCAGGAUACAGUGAUGGAGCCACUGAGAUCAGUAAAAAGGGUGUUUUCAAUGUUGGGGUGUGAGAGCCCCUAGGGAAGUGCCACACUAUUUAAGUGUCUGUGUGCUGUAAUUUGUCUUUUAUCAGCUACAAAGACGUUUAAAGCAUUUAGAAUAGGACUUCAGUGAUCUCAUUUAGAGUGUAUUUUAGUUUGCUUUAAAAAAUGAAUAAUUCCCAAAAUGGAAAAUGAGCUUAAUCUGCAAGACCUUCAAUCAAUAUGAUUAAUAGUUUUUAAAUUUGGAAAAUUUUUCUUUAAAAGCCAGUAUGUCAAAUUAUUGACUCAUCUUUUAGACCUGAACCAAAAUUUCAGCAUUAAAAUAUACUAUGAAGCCAGGCGGUGGUGGCGCACGCCUUUAAUCCCAGCACUUGGGAGGCAGAGGCAGGUGGAUU